GUGAAGCCUGAACUCGAGUAGGGCCCAAGCCAGCCAGGAAGGAGGAGGCAGCCAGAGUGUUCUCUGCAGCAGAAGACCUCUUGCUGCACUGCUUAACCCAGACCAGCAUUUGCCAGGCAUGCUUCUGGAAUUUGCAUCUGUCCGCAUCUGGGGAAGUUCCCAUCAUGUAGUGAAGAAGUUAUCAUAUCCCAGGCUGCAUGCAGCAUGGUAGGUCACAUAACACUCAUUUGGAACACUUUUCCAUUGGCCCAGCAGUAGCGUAUAUUGUAAUGUGGACAAAUGCUUGAUAGCUGUGAUUGCAGAACAGAUAGUUCAACAGACAAAGUGGCAAAGAAAACCUCACCAAAAAACGGAUUGUCAGGUGCUGUCAAACUCAGUGUGGAAAUCCUAUAGAUAUGGCUCCUGCACCACUGAGCCUGUGGACUAGAAGACUAUAGGUAAUUUCACCUGGAACAUCCACACAACAGUGUAUAAUACUCCUGAUUUAGGUAGGCAGAUGACACCAGAGAGCCAAUCCAGAGACACUGUUUGAUAUAAAGAUCCAAUCUGACAUUUCCCUGGAGCAUUUCCAGACGGAACUUUUAGCUCGCUUCUCUACUGGAACGGAAGGUGUGUGUUCACAUAUUGGCCAGAUUUAUCCUGUGACAUAUCAGAGUGCACUCUAUAUACGAUUUGGGUUUCCCCCUACAUGUUGGAGCCUAGCCUGAUUUAUGUCUGGGUUAAAAAAAAUACACUUUUUGCGUCAGAGUAUCCGAUAUGCUCCAGACUCUCAGUAAAACUUUGCAGUAUAUCCACGGGAAAUCCUGCUGUCUGGGAAAGCUCCUGGACAACUGGUUGCUAUGGGAGGCCACCAGACUCUUGCUCUGUCAGGCUAACAAUCUUGAGCCCACCAGGUGCCUGCUUGACCUAUCUGUCUACCAAGUUGCUUGAAGGAAGGGUCAGAUAAUGUUGCUGCUGCCACUGGCUACCUUGACUGCUUGGAGAAGCCCAGGCAGUCUUCUACCCAUUCUCAAAGAUGGAGGCCACAUGUUUUGAGAGUAGUGCCUAAGGUUGGGAAGCAGGUAUGGGGCUAAGCGGUGGGGUGGGGCUGGGUUAUGUCAGCUCCAGACCAGGGCCAGGAUUAAUGCGGGGAGAGGAAGAAGCUUUUUUCCAGCAAGACUCAGGCAUGAGCAAACAUCAUGCAGGUACUAAAAAGGUUCAUAAUUAGUGGUAACUAUCACCUCUUGCUGUAACAACAGGAUUACAUAAUCUUCCCAAAGAUUGCUAUAGUAAUGCCUGAAGAUGUGUUUGGGACAAGGGAGUCUUUUGCGGACCUGAGAACUAUCUGUGCUUGCCAAUAGUUGAGCAUUGCUCUCAGGCUGGAACAGUAGAUUAAGGGUUUUAGAAGGUCUUCUGUUGCAGGUAGAUCCCUGGGAGAAAAGUGUAAGCCUUAUUGCUUCUGGGACUGGAAUUUGCUUUAAUCACUUCCAUGUUGUCAAAUAAUUUAAUAAAGUUUUAACCUUGUUCAACCCAGCCUCAAUACAUGCUUUUUCUUUCUUUCUUUCUUUCUUUCUUUCUUUUUUUGAAUGUUUUUACCCAGAAAUGUGGUAUGGUACAUUACAGUUCAGUAGUUUUCCUUACAGGACUUCAGUCUAUCUCCUUUGAACUCAAAAAAGGACUUUGCUAUUGACUUCAAAGAGAUUUGAAUUAAUGCCAUCAUUUGCUAUACACUUUUGAUGUAACUGAAAAUCUCUAGCCUUGAAUACUUUGCAUAUAUAAUACAAGCUGUACAGGCAUUAUCACCAGUGUUGAAAUGAAUUAUGCUUUGCUAUGUGUGCACCGUCAGUUUGAUUAAUGAAUUCUGAUUUAAUUUGAUAUGCAGAAUGUCAAAGUUUUGCAUUGAUAAUAUUACUGUUUACACCUCAGAUUCAAAUUUUUGGAAU